UAAUAAUUCUUUUUUGGGAAAACUUUAAAAACCCUUGUAGUUUUACUUUUUUUUAUUUUAGUAUCCUAUAGUUUAAAAUGUAUCAAAUUAGUACCACGUGAUUUCUCACUUUAUCACUUUAGUACUCUGUGGUUUAAAGUGUAUCAAGUUAGUACCCGUGGUUUUGCACUUUAUCACUUUAGUACCAUGUGGUUUCGUACUUUAUCACUUUAGUAUCCUGUGGUUUAAAAAUCACAGGGUACUAACUUGAUACAAAAUUAAAACCAGAGGGUACUAAAGGGAUAAAGUAUAAAACCACAGGGUACUAACUUGAUACACUUUAAACCACAUGGUACUAAAGUGAUAAAGUGAAAAAACACGGGGUACUAACUUGAUACACUUUAGACCACAGGAUACUAAAAUGAAAAAGUAAGAAACCACAGGGGAGAUUUUUGAAAUUUUUCCUUUCUUUUUUUAAUUACUAUU
rnacentral:lncRNA from 1 species